rnacentral:rRNA from 1 species
AUGCAUGAUCUUGUGCGGGAAUUAGCCAUUUUCCAAUCCAAGAGAGAGAGUUUCGGUACAACUUAUGAUGAUAGUCAUGGGGUGAUGCAGGUGGAGUCAGAUUCUCGUCGCAUGUCGGUGCUCCAAUGCAAAAAUGACACUCAACCAAGCAUAGGUCAAUGCAGGCUUCGUACCUUCAUAGCAUUCAACACUAGUAUGGGAUCCUUUCCAUGGUUUAGAUCAGAAUCGAAGUACCUUGCUGUGUUGGAGCUAUCAGGGUUACCUAUUGAGACCGUUCCAAAUUCAAUUGGGGAGCUAUUCAGCCUUAGGUAUUUGGGCCUCGACAAAACCAAGGUGAAGGUACUCCCGAAAUCUGUUGUGAACCUUCACAACUUAGAAACAUUGAGUCUUCGAGGUGCAGACUGUCUGUAUCUCCCACGAGGGUCUAAAAAGUUGAAGAGCUUGAGGCACAUUAUAAUGGGUAAAUUGCUGGACGGAACUUUCUCGAGUUUCAAAAGUUUUGAAUCUAUGGAGCCUUCUGAGGGAUUGUGGAGUUUCAUGAACUUGCAAACUCUAGGUGCAGUUCGAGCUAGUAAAGCUUUCGUUGCAAAACUAGCAAGUUUAUCUCAGCUGAGGACCCUUAGCAUUACUGGGGUAAGGAGCAUCCACUGUGCACAGUUGUGUGACUCUCUGUCAAAGAUGCACCACCUCUCAUUAUUAGAAAUAAGUGCUAGCAACGAAGAUGAGGUGCUGCAGCUUGAAACUUUAACAUUGUCAAAUCGUCUUAAAAAGCUCACUUUGAUUGGGCGAUUUUCUGAAGGCACUUUGAAGUCUCCAUUUUGCUCAAACAAUGGAGAUGUACUUCACAGGUUUUUUCUCUAUUGGUCCCAGCUCUCGGAGAACCCAGUGCCGUGCCUCUCUGAAUUGUCAAACUUGACCCAAAUACGUCUAAACAAAGCGUAUACUGGACAGGAGAUAAACUUCCAGACAGAGUGGUUCCCAAAUGUGAAGACUCUUUCCUUAUUGAAUUUGCCACAUGUCAACCAAAUAUGCAUACACGAGGGAGCUUUGGUCCGCCUUGAAGAACUUGUGAUCAUAAACCUGGCCGAACUGCAGGACAUACCUGGGCUGGGACAUCUGAAAUCCCUCAAAGAGACGCAGUUUUAUGACAUGCAUCCUGAUUUUGUAAGGAAUCUUGAAGCGGCAAGACUAGAGCAUAUCCCGAUAUCCUACUACAGGACAGUGCGGGAAUUGAACCAUCCUAGCCAAUAUAUUAUGUUUGCACUUUUCAUGCCAUUCAGUGUGUGCUCGAUUACCUGCACCAAAUUCUAG